UACGGGGGGGGCAAGCGUUGUUCGGAAUUACUGGGCGUAAAGGGCGCGUAGGCGGCCUGUUAAGUCGAACGUGAAAUCCCCGGGCUCAACCCGGGAACUGCGUCCGAUACUGGCAGGCUUGAAUUCGGGAGAGGGAUGCGGAAUUCCAGGUGUAGCGGUGAAAUGCGUAGAUAUCUGGAGGAACACCGGUGGCGAAGGCGGCAUCCUGGACCAACACUGACACUGAGGAGCGAAAGCCAGGGGAGCAAACGGG
rnacentral:rRNA from 1 species